AAUGUUAUAAAUAUUUAUUUAAAGAUUUUCUUAUAUCUUUUCUCAUCACAUCGUCCAGCAAAUAAUAGUUUUAAAUAAAAAAAAAUCCAAUUCGUAUUGUCCAAAUUAUGAGCGUUCGAUAUUUGCGUAGUGUUCAAGGAAUUCUCAAAUUAUUUCAAAUAAUAUUUGGGAUAAUAAUCAUAAUAUUAUUCUGCCUCUCACGUUUCCAACGGAUGUGGAAUCAGAAUUUUUUAUUCUACCUGGCGAUAAUCACCGCUAUAAUUACCAUUCUUUUGCUCUUCGUUUCUUUAUGCGAAAUAUAUAACUCUAUCAUAUGGCCUUGGAAAUCAAUCGAAAUCGGAUACCAUAUAACCGCUGCAAUUCUUUUUGGAAUAGGUGCUAGUUUAGUAAUGGUAUAUAGUAGAAGUCCAACACCCUGGGUCAUUGCUGGUGUUUUUGGAUAUCUAAAUACAGCAUUAUAUGGUCUGCACACGUACUUUUCUGCUGAUUAAAAAGGAUAUACAAUCCCCGAAAUAUUUUUAAAGAACUUUUUUGGCUCAAUCAUAUUAUUUUUUAGUUAUAAUUUUAUUAUUUUUGUGAAGAAAUCUAAAAUGAUCUAUAAAUAUGAUGUAAAAUAAAUAUUGCUUUUGAUAUAAAA